GAUCCGCUAGCUCAGAGGUAGAGCGUAUGAUUCCAGUACAUUGGGGAUUCCAUAAGGUCAUCCGUUCAAUCCGGGUGUGGAUCA